UACGUAGGGGGCAAGCGUUGUCCGGAAUUAUUGGGCGUAAAGCGCGUGUAGGCGGCUCGAUAAGUCUGCUGUGAAAGUCCAAGGCUCAACCUUGGAGAGCCGGUGGAUACUGUCGAGCUCGAGUCCGGAAGAGGCGAGUGGAAUUCCUGGUGUAGCGGUGAAAUGCGCAGAUAUCAGGAGGAACACCAAUGGCGAAGGCGCCACUCUGGGCCGAAACUGACGCUGAGGAAGCGAAAGCGUGGGGAGCAAACAGG
rnacentral:rRNA from 1 species